GUUGUUUAUGGUUUCUGUUAUUAUCUACUUUUUUGUGGUGGUGCUAUUAAUUGGUCGGGUGGAGCUUGCGGGUGAGAUCACUCGUUUCGUUUGUCUAUUUGGAAGAGGAUAUUUGUGUGAAAGAGUUUGGAUGCAGUGGUGUGUGGGGAAUGUGUGGUCACCUGUGCAUUUGGUGUGCAUUCCCAGAUGGACUUUGUGCUGUAUGAUUGGUGGUGGUUGUCUUGUAUGGUUAAUUUUUGCAUUCUUUUUG